rnacentral:ncRNA from 2 species
AGUAUGUAGCGGUAAGUAGGUACUGUGAAUAACGGUUUAAUAGGGAAUCUGGUGAAAGACCAGAACUGUCCCCGCAACUGUAAAUGUGGACGAACUGAGACGAUCACUGUGCAAAGGCAUGGGAAGACACUCAUAGUAGAACGAUGCAUAAGUCAGGAGACCUGCCUACGACCGCAGUUUCAA